rnacentral:rRNA from 1 species
GUGACAGCCGCCGCGGUAAUACGUAGGGUGCGAGCGUUAAUCGGAAUUACUGGGCGUAAAGCGUGCGCAGGCGGUUUUGUAAGCCAGAUGUGAAAUCCCCGGGCUUAACCUGGGAAUGGCAUUUGGGACUGCAAGGCUUGAGUGUGGCAGAGGGGACCGGAAUUCCUGGUGUAGCAGUGAAGUGCGUAGAGAUCAGGAGGAAUACCGGUGGCGAAGGCAGGUCCCUGGGCUGACACUGACGCUCAUGCACGAAAGCGUGGGGAGCAAACAGGAUCAGAAACCCCCGUAGUCC